AAACAUCAAGUGUCCCUGCACCGAGGGAGGAGAUUCACCAGUCAGCCAUUGUCCCUGCACAGAGGGAGGGGGUUCUCCGAGCAGCUAGCAUCACUGCGCAGAGGGAGGAGAUCCUCAGAGCAUCAGGCCUUAUCCCUGCACAUAGGAAGGGGCUCCUCCGAGCAUCAGGCCUCAUCCCUGCACAGAGGGAGGGGAUUCUUCCAGCAGCUUCUUCCAUCAGCUACUAUCAGAAUAAUAAGCUCCUCAGAGCAUCACAACUCACCCCUGCACAAAGGAAGUUGAGAUUCCUGAUAGCCAGUGUCACUGCGCAGAGGAAGGGAAUCUUCCCAAAGGCCAGCGUCCCUGCGCACAGGGAGUGGAUCGUCCCAAAGGCUAGUGUCCCUGCAGAGAGGGAGGAGAUCCUCCUCACAGCCAGUGUCCCUGUGAAGAAUGAAAACAAUCAUCCACAACCACCUCCCAUCAUCCCCAUGGUGGCACCACUGUGGAAAUGGGAUGGUGGAGCGUGUCCUCCACCUGUGGAUUUCUAUUCCAAGAGAAGAGAUUGUCUGGGAUCCAACUCUGCACAGAUGGGUUAACAAAACUGAGCCCAAGGCUGAGAACAAGUGUGUACCACCACCUCCACCGAUGGGGACAUAUGGAUAUCAGGGGAACACUGGCAGUGUCCCCAAAGGAGUGAAUCCUUACUCUAUGAAAGCAGCAGGUCUAUGGGGCAGCAGAUACCCUACAAUGAAUUACAAUGAUAGGACCAACUCAAAGCCUCCAAGCCAUGGGCCUGGACUGCUUCCUAGACAGCUCUCUGGCUUGCUCCCUCCUUCACACUUUGACCUCAUGGCACCAAUGGUUGUGCCACCUGACACUCUACCCUACUGAGGUGCGAGGGCCAUCCUGUGCCACCAGUCAAUUGAUGGUGGAUGACCUUCUGACCCCGUGCUCGCCAGGUGACCCGGCUGCCAUAGAAUUGACCUGGAUGGAUGUGCCUAGCGACAAGCUGCUGUAGCCCAUCUGCAUGUCCGACAUGCUGCCCUCACUAUAUACCACGCAACCCACAGUCAACAUGGAGGUCUUGUUCAAGGUCAGGAAGUUCACAGAGGACUUAGAACAGGAGGGUUGAGAGCUCCUGGUUGGCAGCCUUUCGGUAACUGGCCCAAUGAUCUAACCUUGAGGCUACGUGCCGCCCCUUAGAAUGUAGGGUGACUCCCCUAGUGGGUCCUGAACCCAGGUCAGCAGCACUACAUUGCUGUGUGUCUGUAUUGUUGAGGGUAUAUUGGUUUAGUAAUACUCAUUCCAGUUCUGGUCCCAGAGGGGAUCUCAAUACUGUUACACGUAGCCAUGAUCACCAAGCUACCCUUACUUAAUUAAAC